AUUGAACGCUGGCGGCAUGCUUUACACAUGCAAGUCGAACGGCAGCGCGGGCUUCGGCCUGGCGGCGAGUGGCGAACGGGUGAGUAAUGCAUCGGAACGUGCCCAGUAGUGGGGGAUAGCCCGGCGAAAGCCGGAUUAAUACCGCAUACGACCUGAGGGUGAAAGCGGGGGACCGAAAGGCCUCGCGCUAUUGGAGCGGCCGAUGUCGGAUUAGCUAGUUGGUGGGGUAAAGGCUUACCAAGGCGACGAUCCGUAGCUGGUCUGAGAGGACGACCAGCCACACUGGGACUGAGACACGGCCCAGACUCCUACGGGAGGCAGCAGUGGGGAAUUUUGGACAAUGGGGGCAACCCUGAUCCAGCCAUGCCGCGUGCGGGAAGAAGGCCUUCGGGUUGUAAACCGCUUUUGUUCGGGAAGAAAUCCUCUGGGCUAGUACCCCGGGGGGAUGACGGUACCGGAAGAAUAAGCACCGGCUAACUACGUG
rnacentral:rRNA from 1 species